CUGAGUUUGAUCCUGGCUCAGGACGAACGCUGGCGGCGUGCCUAAUACAUGCAAGUCGAGCGAAUCGACGGGAGCUUGCUCCCUGAGAUUAGCGGCGGACGGGUGAGUAACACGUGGGCAACCUGCCUAUAAGACUGGGAUAACUUCGGGAAACCGGAGCUAAUACCGGAUACGUUCUUUUCUCGCAUGAGAGAAGAUGGAAAGACGGUUUACGCUGUCACUUAUAGAUGGGCCCGCGGCGCAUUAGCUAGUUGGUGAGGUAAUGGCUCACCAAGGCGACGAUGCGUAGCCGACCUGAGAGGGUGAUCGGCCACACUGGGANUGAGACACGGCCCAGACUCCUACGGGAGGCAGCAGUAGGGAAUCUUCCGCAAUGGACGAAAGUCUGACGGAGCAACGCCGCGUGAACGAAGACAGGCCUUCGGGUCGUAAAGUUCUGUUGUUAGGGAAGAACAAGUACCAGAGUAACUGCU
rnacentral:rRNA from 1 species